UAAGUUACUAAGGGCACACGGGGGAUGCCUAGGCUCUCAGAGGCGAAGAAAGACGUGAUAAGCUGCGAUAAGCUACGAGGAGGGGCAAAUACCUUUUGAUUCGUAGAUUUCUGAAUGGGGAAACCUAGCUGGUUGAAGACCAGUUAUCCGCAAGGAGGCAAACGCGCUGAACUGAAACAUCUAAGUAGGCGCAGGAAGAGAAAACAAUAGUGAUUUCCGUAGUAGCGGCGAGCGAAGUGGAAAUAGCCCAAACCAUGAUUGUUUCGGCAAUUAUGGGGUUGUAGGACUGGGACGUCCGAACUUAAGCAUAGUAGAAUCAGUUGGAAAGCUGAGCGUUAGAGGUGAAAGCCCUGUAUAUGAAAUGUUUGAUGUAGGUACCAGUAUCCUGAGUAGGGCGGGACAUGUGAAAUCCUGUCUGAAUCUGCCAGAACCAUCUGGUAAGGCUAAAUACUCCUGAGAGACCGAUAGCGAACGAGUACCGUGAGGGAAAGGUGAAAAGAAUCCCGAAAGGGUUGUGAAAUAGAGCAUGAAAUCAUUAAUUUACAAACAGUAGAAAAAUAAUUUAUAGUUUAACUGCGUUCCUGUUGAAGAAUGAGCCGGCGACUUAU
rnacentral:rRNA from 1 species